rnacentral:rRNA from 1 species
GACGAACGCUGGCGGCGUGCCUAACACAUGCAAGUCGAGCGGGGGGAGUACUUCGGUACAAACCUAGCGGCGGACGGGUGAGUAACACGUGGGUAACCUGCCUCAAAGUGGGGGAUAGCCUUCCGAAAGGAAGAUUAAUACCGCAUAACCCAUAGCUUCCGCAUGGAAGCAAUGGUAAAGAUUUAUCGCUUUGAGAUGGACCCGCGGCGCAUUAGCUAGUUGGUGAGGUAACGGCUCACCAAGGCCACGAUGCGUAGCCGGCCUGAGAGGUUGGUCGGCCACAUUGGAACUGAGACACGGUCCAUACUCCUACGGGAGGCAGCAGUGGGGAAUAUUGCACAAUGGGCGAAAGCCUGAUGCAGCAACGCCGCGUGAGUGAUGAAGGCCUUCGGGUUGUAAAGCUCUGUCUUUUGGGACGAUAAUGACGGUACCAAAGGAGGAAGCCACGGCUAACUACGUGCCAGCCGCCGCAGUAAUAC